CCUACGGGAGGCAGCAGUGAGGAAUAUUGGUCAAUGGUCGGGAGACUGAACCAGCCAAGCCGCGUGAGGGAUGAAGGUACAGAGUAUCGUAAACCUCUUUUGUCAGGGAACAAAGGCGGGGACGUGUCCCCGGAUGAGUGUACCUGAAGAAAAAGCAUCGGCUAACUCCGUGCCAGCAGCCGCGGUAAUACGGGGGAUGCGAGCGUUAUCCGGAUUUAUUGGGUUUACGGGGUGCGCAGGCGGUCUGUUAAGUCAGCGGUAAAAGCCGGGGGGUCAACCCCGGACCGCCGUUGAAACUGGCAGUCUCGAGUUGGAGAGAAGUAUGCGGAAUGCGCGGUGUAGCGGUGAAAUGCAUAGAUAUCGCGCAGAACUCCGAUUGCGAAGGCAGCAUGCCGGCUCCACACUGACGCUGAGGCACGAAAGCGUGGGUAUCGAACAGGAUUAGAUACCCCUGUAGUC
rnacentral:rRNA from 1 species